GUUGUUGCGGUUAAAAAGCUCGUAGUUGGAUUUCUGUUGAGGACGGCCGGUCCGCACUAUGUGCGUGUAUCUGGUUCGGCCUUGGCAUCCUCUUGAGGAACGUUCCUGCGCUUGAUUGCGUGGGGCGGUAUUCAAGACUUUUACUUUGAGGAAAUUAGAGUGUUCACGGCAGGCAAGCGCCUUGAAUACAUUAGCAUGGAAUAAUAAUAUAGGAUCUUGGUUCUAUUUGUUGGUUUCUAGGGCUAAGGUAAUGAUUAAUAGGGAUAAUUGGGGGCAUUUGUAUUAACGCGUCAGAGGUGGAAUUCUUGGAUUGCGUUACGACAAACUACUGCGAAAGCAUUUGCCAAGGAUGUUUUCAUUGAUCAAGAACGAAAGUAUGGGGAUCGAAGAUGAUUAGAUACCGUCGUAGUCUAUACCAUAAACUAUGCCGACUAGGGAUUGGAGGUCGUUCUUUUUAUGACUCCUUCAGCACCUUAUGAGAAAUCAAAGUCUUUGGGUUCCGGGGGGAGUAUAGUCGCAAGGCUGAAACUUAAAGGAAUUGACGGAAGGGCACCACCAGGAGUGGAGCCUGCGGCUUAAUUUGACUCAACACGGGGAAACUCACCAGGUCCAGACAUAGUAAGGAUUGACAGAUUGAUAGCUCUUUCUUGAUUCUAUGGGUGGUGGUGCAUGG
rnacentral:rRNA from 1 species